UGAUAAUACACAGCACUCUACACCUUACAUACAUCAGAGUGAUCCUGUGACUACUAAGCCCACAAUUUCACAUUUUGUUCCUGAGCACAUUACAUCUCUCUGUACAUCCAAACCAUUACAUGCAGAACCUGUAACUGUUGUUCCUUCUCCUAUCUAUCCUGUAGCAUCACCAAGUGUGUUCCCCCAACUGGUAAAAUUGCCUACUGCAGAUGUUUACCCUCCUACAACAAUGCAGCCAUCCUUGUCUUUUGAUAGACAAACCUAUAGUCUAGGUCAGUCAGGUGCCAACCUUACAUUUUCAGCUAAACCAAAUAUGUCUCAAGAUUCAGCAGGGACCAGUUAUGCCCAGCAACCUACCUUUUUAGUCCCAGCAGACGCUCAACCUCAUCCUCCAACAGGUCAGUUUCAACAACCAUUAUUAGUGCCUACUGUUCCGUGUGUACAGCCACAUCCACAGCCACAAACCCCGGUAAAUAUGAUGGACAUGUUGAUUGCCAGCUCAUAUGGUAUACCCAAACCAGCUCUGCCUAAAUUUGAUCGUGGUAAGGAGUCUGACUUUGCCCUACUCAAAAUGGCACUAGAUAGUCUCCUUGGCGGCCAUGCUCAUCUUACAGAGCAGUUCAAAUAUCAAGUGCUGCUAGACAGAUUAAAGCUACCAAGUGCCUACAAAUUAGCACAAGCCUACAUGCAUGACCCCACUCCAUACACAAUGGCAUUGCAAGCCCUCCAAGACAAAUAUGGGCAACCCCGUCAACUUGUACAGAGUGAACUUGGAGCUAUAUUGAACUCUCCACCAGUCAGAGUAGGGGAUGCUGAAGCAUUUGAUGACUUUGCGCUCUCAGUACAUGGUCUUGUGGGCAUGCUUCGUUCUUUGGAGGGUGAGAAUGGUUACGAACUGAAAUGUGGCUCACACGUAGACAGACUUUUAGCCAAACUGCCUGCCAGCUACCGUGAUGGCUUUGUUGAACAUUGUCUAAGUCGUGGUAUACUUAUCACUGGAACAGACAAAACAUACACUCUUCUGGACCUAUCAGCAUGGCUUCAGCUAAAAUCACAGGCAAAGCGUAUCUCCAGCAGAGCUGUUGACAUGUUUCAAGAGCAGAUGAAGCCUCAGAGGAAAGGGAAGAGAAGUCCGAGUCAGUCAUCAUCAUCUGUGUACUACAACACCAGUAGUAGUCCAGAUAAAUCACCCCUUACCUCUCCGUCUCACUGUACCUUACCGCCAAAGCUGAGAGACAAGUUUAAACCUUAUUGUCCAUAUUGUGACACGCGAGAGCACUAUCUCAGUUUGUGUUCAAAAUUCAAGUCACUGACAACUACCCAGAUCGCAGAGUGGCUUAAAGACAAAAGCUGCUACCGCUGUGGACGUAAUCACAAACCUGAGGCUUGUACCCUCAAGAAACCCUGUAAAAUAUGUCAAAAGCAGCAUCUUACAGUGCUACAUGAUGUAAACAUACAGGAGCCUAACAAGAUUCUUAUGGUUAGUACCUCUCCAGACACCAUUUAUCUUGAUUGUCCCAACCGUCCUCAACAGGUCAUGUUAAAGGUGGUCAAAGUACUUUUGCAUAAUGCCAAACCCUCACUUGAGGCAUAUGCUUUGCUGGACGAUGGUUCUGAGCGGACUAUCCUCCUUUCUACCGCUGCACAUUAUCUCAAGCUACAGAAAGAAGCAGAAACACUCUCUCUAAGAACUGUACGACAUGAGGUUUUUCACCUGAAAGGGGCAUCUGUGUCUUUCGAAAAUUUCCCCAGCUGACAACCCAAAACAUAGAUACAAGAUCGAUCAUGCAUUCACUGCUGAUGACCUGGGC
ensembl:lncRNA